GGGGCCGUGGUCUAGCCUGGUAGGAUGCGCGGCUUGGGCCCGCGAGACCCCGGACGGCGGACGCCGGGGGAAGUUCAAAUCCCGGCGGCCCCA
rnacentral:tRNA from 1 species